rnacentral:rRNA from 1 species
GACGAACGCUGGCGGCGUGCUUAACACAUGCAAGUCGAGCGGGAAACUUCGGUUUCCAGCGGCGGACGGGUGAGUAACACGUGGGCAACCUGCCUCACAAUGAGGGAUAGCCCUCCGAAAGGAGGAUUAAUACCGUAUACGCCCUAUGGGGGAAAGAUUUAUCGGAAUUAGAUGAGCCCGCGUAAGAUUAGCUAGUUGGUGAGGUAAUGGCUCACCAAGGCGACGAUCUUUAGCUGGUCUGAGAGGAUGAUCAGCCACACUGGGACUGAGACACGGCCCAGACUCCUACGGGAGGCAGCAGUGGGGAAUAUUGGACAAUGGGCGAAAGCCUGAUCCAGCCAUGCCGCGUGUGUGAAGAAGGUCUUCGGAUUGUAAAGCACUUUAAGUUGGGAGGAAGAGUUGUAAGCUAAUAUCUUGCAGCUUUGACGUUACCAACAGAAUAAGCACCGGCUAACUCUGUGCCAGCCGCCGCGGUAAAAC